GCCCGCUCAGAAACUUAAAGGAAUUGACGGGGACCCGCACAAGCGGUGGAUGAUGUGGAUUAAUUCGAUGCAACGCGAACAACCUUACCUACCCUUGACAUGUCCGGAACCCUGCUGAGAGGUGGGGUGCUCGAAAGAGAGCCGUAACACAGGUGCUGCAUGGCUGUCGUCAGCUCGUGUCGUGAGAUGUUGGGUUAAGUCCCGCAACGAGCGCAACCUUGUCAUUAGUUGCUACGCAAGAGCACUCUAAUGAGACUGCCGGUGACAAACCGGAGGAAGGUGGGGAUGACGUCAAGUCCUCAUGGCCCUUAUGGGUAGGGCUUCACACGUCAUACAAUGGUCGGUACAGAGGGUUGCCAAGCCGCGAGGUGGAGCCAAUCCCAGAAAGCCGAUCGUAGUCCGGAUCGCAGUCUGCAACUCGACUGCGUGAAGUCGGAAUCGCUAGUAAUCGCGGAUCCUAGCAUCGCCGCGGUGAAUAACGUUACCGGGUCUU
rnacentral:rRNA from 1 species